UGGACAGAUGACGUGAGGCUGGAGGGCUAG
rnacentral:piRNA from 1 species